AGGUGCUGGUCCCCUAGGAAUUCCUUGCCCAAGCGGCCCGGCUGACAGCACCUUAUGGUGCAGACCACAUGGAGAGGUGGGGGGCCACCUGCUGUGCGUGGGGCUGAGCCACAGAACCUAGUAUCCAGCUUUUCUAGCUCAGUGUCCAGGGCAGGAGGAAGAGGCUGCAGGCAGAACCCGUGGCGGGACCUCAGCGUGGACCUGGCCGUCCUUGCACUGUUGAGUCUCCCAGGGCGCCAUGCCUGCCUGGUGGGCCGGAGGGCGAGGCUCCUUCAAGGAAGGAACUGGAUGGCCUGGAGGACGAGCCAGGAUACGACACAACCUGGAGAACUGGCUCAGGAGGACUUGCCCACGCCCUGAACAAGCGGAAAACCCAGGGAAGAACCGUCUCAUCGUUUUCAAACCCUCCUAUUCUUGGGAAAGCUUUUCUCUCUCCAGAGAGCUGUGAUGACUUUGCCUUUGUGAUUCCAAAGGCAGAAUCCCUUCAAGCUGAAACCCCAUGUGCACUGCGCUUCAGCUAGGG